rnacentral:pre_miRNA from 1 species
AACGUACUCCCUCCGUUCUGAAUUACUUGUCUUAGAUUUGUCUAGAUACGGAUGUAUCUAGACUCAUUUUAGUGCUAGAUACAUCCGUAUCUAGACAAAUCUAAGACAAGUAAUUCAGAACGGAGGGAGUAGAAG